UACGAAGGGGGCUAGCGUUGUUCGGAUUUACUGGGCGUAAAGGGCGCGUAGGCGGGCUGAUCAGUCAGGGGUGAAAUCCCAAGGCUCAACCUUGGAACUGCCUUUGAUACUGUCGGUCUUGAGUUCGAGAGAGGUAAGUGGAACUGCGAGUGUAGAGGUGAAAUUCGUAGAUAUUCGCAAGAACACCAGUGGCGAAGGCGGCUCACUGGCCCGAUACUGACGCUGAUGCACGAAAGCGUGGGGAGCAAACAGG
rnacentral:rRNA from 1 species